GACGAACGCUGGCGGCGUGCUUAACACAUGCAAGUCGAACGGAAAGGCCCUGCUUUUGUGGGGUGCUCGAGUGGCGAACGGUUGAGUAACACGUGAGUAACCUGCCCUUGACUUUGGGAUAACUUCAGGAAACUGGGGCUAAUACCGGAUAGGCGCUCCUGCUGCAUGGUGGGGGUUGGAAUGUUUCGGCGGUUGGGGAUGGACUCGCGGCUUAUCAGCUUGUUGGUGGGGUAGUGUCUUACCAAGGCUUUGACGGGUAGCCGGCCUGAGAGGGUGACAGGCCACAUUGGGACUGAGAUACGGCCCAGACUCCUACGGGAGGCAGCAGUGGGGAAUAUUGCACAAUGGGCGGAAGCCUGAUGCAGCAAAGCCGCGUGCGGGAUGACGGCCUUCGGGUUGUAAACCGCUUUAGCCUGUGACGAAGCGUGAGUGACGGUAAUGGGUAAAGAAGCACCGGCUAACUACGUG
rnacentral:rRNA from 1 species